rnacentral:lncRNA from 1 species
GCAACCCCCACCAUUUUCCCACAAAUUGCCCUCUCCCCUCAGCCCGGAAUUGGACGCCAAAAGUCAAAGCCAGUAACGGGGCGUCUGCCGUGAAAUCCAACCAUGGCAGAGAUACGGACACAAAGACCCCCCAAAUCAUUACGAAGACCUCCAGACCCAAACAGGUGUUCUUACUCUUAUUCCAGUAGGCUAUCCCAGCCAAAAUAGCCGUAGCAGUUUGUUUGUAGGCUACAUCAGGACCCUGUUGAUUACCUGGGGUCGAUUGUGAUAGGAGUCUGAAAUAUCUCUUUAGGAUAUCCACAUCCAGCAAACUAGGUUGCUUCUGUAACCUGGGCACGAGGACGGUAACCCCCGAAACGAUGGGGGUGUGUCUCUCCACGCUGACAGGGGGGACCAAAGAGUGGUUGUGCCUUCUUCCCCCACAGGAUGAUGGUGCUUGGCGAAUUCUAUUCACCCUGUAGCAAAAGGAAACUUAUGUUGGCCUUUCUUUUUAUGAAUUCACAAUAAAUCAAUAUAUUUUUGUAUAUCAAGA